AUACAAAAAAGGUCAUCGCUGCUCAUACUUCAUUUAAUUUAUUUUUAAAAGUGUAAAAUUUUCUGUGGCAGUGCACACUGUCAAUGUUUACCACCUUAUUUUUUAUAGUUUGGUUGCUAGAGAGGGUAUUGGCAAAUGACAACUUUUG